CGCGUCCUGGAUUUACCGAUUUUUUUCCUCAGACAAGUGUUUCUGUUUUGUGGUCGAUUCUGGGAUCCUUUUCUUGGUGUGUCUUGAUGUUUUCUAUUGGCUAAAGACAUGUCUCUGUGAAACUGACAAUCUCAGGUAGGAACUGCUGGUUUGUGGUUGGCAGUAUGGAUCACGGUCUGCGAUUCAUGAGGAGCUGGUCUGGAGACAUGAAGAGGUUGUCAACAGGGCGUGUUCCUAUACUCUACCAAAAUGAGAGAGGGAUCAGUCAUGUGGCCCAAUGUGUGUGAAACUUAAUGUUUAUGCAAAGUCUUUAAACUUUGUGUUGAUUUUGUGGACCUUUUUAUUUCACUGGUAUGCCAUGUCUGGUGAAAGUGACUAAGCUUGCUGAUGACAGUGGCAGACAUAGUAGUGUUGAGUUUGUCUAAUUGGAAGAAAUGGUAAUAGUAAUCUACAUUAACCAUUUAUUCAUUUUCCGAGGUGAAGAGGUCUGAAGCUGAUACCUGCCACGGUCUGAUUGGUAUUUCAUGAGGAAUCAUGGGUUCCUUGGUAUUUGAAUUAUGUUGAACCAGGCAAGUACUCCAUCUUUCGAUCAUGUGUUCUGUCUGCUUACACAUUCUUAGCCAGAAUAACAUUUCGUGCUCUUAGCUUAGACUUCUCAGCGUGUGCGCAUAUCUCAGGUCAGAUAUGACUAUUUUCUUAUCUUCACUGGUCAAUGAAAGUUUGUCUUAAAAGUCAAUAAAGUAUGUGGGAAAUUGUCUCCUCUUUGCAGGCCAUCCAUCCAAGAUCAUCUAUCUGAGCUGCUGAAAACUGCCUCGGUAGGGAUCUGUUGGAGCUUUGUGUCACUGACUGUAUUUCUGCAAAUUCCUGUUUCGUGUCACAUUGCUUAUGCAAGACUGAAUCCAUAAAGGUGAUGGUCUGUGGAGACUGUGGGCGAUUCCUUCUGCUGUCAUUUAAACAUGAGCAGGAGUAAUGACGGGUUUAAAUGGACGCAACUAAUAUUAUGUCAGAGUCCGCUGCUUAUGCUGUAACCAUAAAGCAACCAGGACAACACCUGGAGUGACUGAGAGCAGGAUGAAGAAAGAAUCGGACGAGAAAAUAUCAACUGGUGCCCAUGAGGAGACACAUUGUUCUUGGACCAGCUUUUUCUGUAUAGUAAUAAGUGGUUUUAUUUUGUUACAUAAAAGUAAUUUAAUAUUCAAUCCACAAGCUAAAUUUCCUACAUUAAAAAGGUAGUUGACCCAAAAAGGAAAAUUCUGUCAUUUACACAAACAGUUUGGUUACAAACAUUUCUCACAAUAUCUGCCUUCCUGUUUAUCAGAACAAAGAAAUUUAUGCGGGUUUGUAACAACAUGAGAGUGUGUAAAUGAUGACAUAAUUUUUAUUUUUGGGUGAAGUACCCCUUAACAUUUUUAUACCCAGGGGUAGGGGUGUGCAGUGGAGUCAGUAUUUGUAUCUGUAUUUGUAUCUUUAACAGUCUCAAAAUUAUUUGUAUCUGUAUUUGUAUUCAAAUGGAUCCAGAAGUGGGCGGGUCUUAAACCGGAAGUUUGUCAUAUUACAUUAAAAUGGCAUUUUAAAUGCAUUUUUGCUUUUUAUUAUAAUUAUAACUUAAAUAACUGUAAAUAUUUAUUAAAAAUAAUAAUACAAAAUUUUUAUCAAAAAGACAAAUAACUUGAUUCUCGUUAGUAAUACUCAUGGAAAGCAAACAACUCAUUUUUAAAGCCUCAUACAGCUUGUGCUCAGGGCCGCAUUAACCAUAGGGCUAGGCGGGGCUAAAGCCCCGGGGCCCGAACAAGUAGGGGGCCCGUGAUUGGCUGUGAAGCAGAUUGACUGCUACUAGACAUCUGAUUGCCAAAGCCUUACUACGCCCCCUACAAAUUAGGUUUUUGCCGCCAGCCGCAGCACGCGCUUUUGAAGAAGCGCUGAGAGCGGAGAAGCGCCCGACGUCAUUCGCGUCGGGCGCAUUGUCCAAUCGAAUGAGGGGAGAGGCGGGCCUUACGUUGUGGUAAGGGAAGUUUACAAGGGCUUUGAAGAACUGGACUCAGUGCCGCUGCUAGCCAUUUUGGUGCCCUAAGCAUAAUUCCUUUAUAAUGCCCCCCCCUGACCCUGAGAAAAAAAAAAUGUUUGUUUUUGCCAGUUUAACUUUUUAUUACCAAACAUAUAACUUAAUAGCAGAAAGUUAAAUCUUCACAGCUUUAGUCAAAACACA